UAGGGGUUAAGGUUAAGCAAAUGUAACCAGAAACUAAUAAUUCGGCCACACUAGCUAUCAGUAAUCCAAUGCUAGCCAAUAUACCUGCCCAGGUACCUUCUACUUCUGCUGCGUCUCCAUCUUCAUUCUUUAACAAUUGAGAUCAUUGACCGGAAGAGGCGCGUUUCACCGCGUUCAAGAUUCAGAGGCAGAGAGGCAAUUUGUGAAAUUUCACGAUGCCCUGACCGCGUUUUAGCCUUGGCAUUGGAAACUUUCUCUGACGGUCAAACGGUUCCAACGGCCCUGUUCUGGUUGGUCUGAGACGCCAAAACUCGUCGAUCUGAUCGGUGAACGAGAAAAUGAUCAAGAACGAAUUUGGGCCACCAAUACCGCUUACUAAUUGAGUUUUAAGUACAAACGUACAAUUACAUACAGCAAUAUUCAGAAAAAAAAAAAAGAAUACUAAACUAGUGAAAGUGCAGACAAUACGUACCGGAACAGUGAGCAAGGUCACUUCCGGUGUUCUCUGGGAAUCCCUGACAAUAGCAGUCAAGGCCGUGAUUGCAGCCAUAUUCGAAAGGGCAAGGGCAAUGAGGCUCGCUGCAAGGUGAGCCGUGGAAAAGCUGGAAUUCGUUUUGCUCGUUGACGUUGCAAGUGUUGCUACGACACCAAACGCUCCUGCGGCAAGAGCACCCGCACCUGCCCAUAAUCCUGCACCGGAACCUCCUAAUGCAGCGCCAUGGACCAAUACCAGGAUACCAAAUACUACAAGUUUAUUAUUACAAUUAUGUCGUAGCAGAAUCAAUUAUAAGUUAGUGGAACUUGCAAUUGAAAUUUAGUAAGGAUCAUGAACUUAUCAAUUGUAGGAAUGAAAUAUAAAUAAUAAGAAAGUAUAAAUAUAAAAUGUACUUGGGAUAUACAUGAAUAUAAUUAUGUUCAUUUCAAUAUCAGAGAAUAUGGAAUAACAAUGAACUACAGCAUGGUAAUUCUCUACGGUUUGCAAAUCUGUGGAAGGAGUUACACAAGUAUGACUUUCUAAGUGAAAUGUUUUCACUUUUACACCGAUUUCUAUGCAGUUUGGAGAAAUGUUUGCUGCUCAGUGGUCAGUCAGUGAAAAUUCGUAUAUAUUUUAUUUAUAGAAUUUUAAAACAAUCAAGAUACCACGCGAAAGUAGAAAUCACACUAACAACUUUGUAUUCAUUUUACUUGUUCAUGAAUCAUAUGAAUUAUAAUUUCAGACAAAUUUUUUGCUUUCUUAACAUUAUCUCUUGUAAUUAUUAGGAUCAUUUUAAAAAAUUAUGGACUAUAUUCUUCAUAAUGAAUUGUAAAUGUAAUAGAAUAUAUUUAAAUAAAGAAAUAUGUAAUACUGUUUGUUACAACGACAUAUUUAUUAUUCAUGAACAAAACUUGUAUUUUAUAUACACAUUAUGUAUUCUAUUAUCACGAUUUUUUAAAAUAUAAAUGUAAAUAUCUUUUCUGUUUUAUUGGAAUUAAUUAAAGUAUUUCAAGAAAUGUUUUUUUAAAAAAAAUGCGUCAUCAAGGACGAUAACGAAUGAACUUGUAAGAAUAAUAUACAUAUUAACAUAAAUUUAAAUAGUAAUCGCCGUCAAAUAUCAUAUUUAAUUAAUAGAAAUUCGCUAUCCAGUUGAAAUUAAAAUAUCUGAUAAAUACAUUUGAAUCCGUUGAAUCCGUGAUGUUAUUAAUUAAAUUAGUUCCAAUGAAACAGGUUUUUGCGCUCAUUAUUGCAAACUAAUGUCAAUUGUUUUUCAAGUGUCAAAUAUAUCUUUAUCUAAUAUUAUUAAUUGAAAAUAUGCAAUCAAGUUACUCAAUAUUAUUUAUAAAAACAAUUAAUUAAUUAACCAUUAAAUAAUGUAUUUCUCAAAAUAAUUUUGAAUUAAAUAAUUGCAGAAAUUUA